rnacentral:rRNA from 1 species
AGACGUCUACAUUACGAUACCCGCGUAGUCCCAGCCGUAAACUAUGCGCGUUAGGUGUAUCGGUGACCACGAGUCACCGAGGUGCCGAAGGGAAACCGUGAAACGUGCCGCCUGGGAAGUACGGUCGCAAGGCUGAAACUUAAGGAAUUGCGGGGAGCACCACAACGGGUGGAGCCUGCGGUUUAAUUGGACUCAACGCCGGGAAGCUCACCGGAUAAGACAGCGGAAUGAUUGCCGGGCUGAAGACUCUGCACGACUAGCUG